GUCAGGAUGGCCGAGCGGUCUAAGGCGUCAGAUUUAAGCUCUGGUUCUCGAAAGAGAGCGUGGGUUCGAACCCCACUUCUGACA
rnacentral:tRNA from 1 species